GAAUUUGGGAAGUGGGGGCAUGGGAGGGCUAGAAGAGGCAGAGGGGAGGGGGAGAUGCUGUAAAUACUGUACUCAAACGAAAGUCUCAAAAAUAAGCUGGGCUUUGUGUGUGUGCGCGCCUUUAAUCCCAACAUUUGGGAGGCAGAGACAGGCAGAUCUCUGUGAACUUGAGGCUAGUCUGGUCUACACGUAGUGAGCUCUCGAACAGCCAGGACUACAUAGAGAGAACCUGUUUUAGAAAACCAUAUGUAUGUCUAUGUGUAUAAUAUGUAUUGGAUGAAGUGGAAACUUCUGGUUUCUUUGGAAACUCAUUUGUGUCACGUGAUUUUUUUCUGGAAGCUGUCUCGUGAGAGGAUGUUUUGCUGAAGCAGACACUUGAGAGGGCAUGCGAUGUUUAGAAAGAAAAUAUAAAUAUAAUCCCACAAACAGUGAGAGGAUGCUCUUGCAUUGCUACUCCUCGAAACACUUUGCUGGUCUUCGUAGGUCUCCACUUCAUAGAGAGAAAAGCACCGAAGAACUUCAUAGCAUUUUGACUGAGUCUUGCUGCUUUGGCUGACUUGUACUGAUUGGUGGAGGGAGCACUGCAGUUUCUGCUGGAUUGAGCAGCUGCUACUGAUUCGUGUUUGGUGUUUCCUUUUGGACUGGACUGCUGGUAUCCUGAUUGUGAAGAAGUCAUCUCAAAGAAUUACUUCUAACAUUUGUGCAGAAAUAACUCUGAAUUUGUGGUUCUAAAGACAAGCGAUAAAAAAAAAAAGAAAGAAAGAAAGAAAGAAAAAGGACGAAGCUCACCAAAUUGCCUUCUAAAAGUAUAUUAUUUUCUGUUUCACUUCGUUUGAGUUUUUGUCUAAGUAUGGUGGAAAAAUAAAAUCUGAAAGUGGGAAAAA